rnacentral:lncRNA from 1 species
AAAUGGUAGAAUCUUUUUUCAUGAUUUUAUCUAUGACUUAAUGAAUCUCAGUUAUGUCCCCUUAAAUCUCUUUUCUUUUAUGAACAAAUGGUAGAAUCUUUUUUCAUGAUUAUAUCUAUGACUUAAUGAAUCUCAGUUAUGUCCCCUUAAAACUCUUUUCUGUUAUGAACAAAUGGAAGAAUCUUUUUUCAUGACUUUAUCUGACUUAAUGAAUCUCAGUUAUGUCCCCUUAAACCUCUUUUCUUUUAUGAACAAAUGGUAGUAUCUUUUUUCAUGAUUUUAUCUAUGACUUAAUGAAUCUCAGUUAUGUCCCCUUAAACCUCUUUUCUUUUAUGAACAAAUGGUAGAAUAUUUUUUCAUCAUGAUUUUAUCUGACUUAAUGAAUCUCAGUUAUGUCCCCUUAAACCUCUUUUCUUUAAUGAACAAAUGGUAGAAUCUUUUUUUGCAUGAUUUAAUCAGCUAUGGUACAUAAAAAUUCUACCUUUACUGAUUUUUUCUGGUGGAAUCUGAAUGUUUAUAUAUUUUUAUAUUAAAAGUAUAAGUACAAACAAAUAGAAUUUAGUUAGAUAGAUCUGUAAU